AAAACGAAAAACUUGGCUCUGAUUUGCUAAUAUAACGAGGACUAAAAAAUACACAUGGUUUUUUUAGAAAGAAGCGAGGGUUAAAAGGACUAUUGUUUAGAUAUAAUAUUUAGACUUAUGUUUUUUUAUGGUAUUAUAAAUAUAAAGAAUGCCUUGAAAAGUCCCGCUAACACCAGUGCUGGAGAUUAAUAUAAAAGUGAAAGCUUGAAUUAAUUUAGUACAUUUUAGCCUGGUUAACUUGGUGCCAGCAUCCGCGGUUAGACCAAGAGAUUCAGUUAUAUAUAUAGGUAAAAAGACAGUUAGGUUUGUUAAAAUAAAGUUUAUUGAUCUUUCAUUGAAAAGUAAAAUUUGAAUAUGAAGAGCUAAUCUAACUAUAACUAAUGUGCUGAAGCUGUGAUAGUUUUGAGGGAAACUGGGAUUAGAUACCCCAUUAUUCAUAACUGUAAAUACAAUUAAAACUUUACCAGAGUACUAUGAAUAUAUUAAAAAUUUAAAACUCAAAGGGCUUGGCGGUGUUUUAGACCUAUCAGGGGAACCUGUCUCGUAAUCGACAAUCCGCGUAAAACCUAACCCUAUUUUGUACCCAGUUUGUAUACCGUCGUCGUCAGGUAACUUUUAAAAAAUUAGAAGUUAGCAACAGAAAUAAAUAUAAAUUAAUACGUCAGAUCAAGGUGCAGCUAAUAAAAGGGCGAGGAUGGGUUACAAUUAUAUUAUUUAUAAUUACGAAUAGCUAGAUGAAAACAUGGCUUAAAGGAGGACUUGAAAGUAAAAUAAAAUACACAAACAAUUUGAAUAAGGCUCUGAAACGUGCACACAUCGCCCGUCGCUCUCGUUGAAAAAUGAGAUAAGUCGUAACAUAGCAGGGGUAAUGGAAAUUGUCCCUAAAU
rnacentral:ncRNA from 1 species